rnacentral:rRNA from 1 species
GUCUUUUUGAUUUAACAUAUAAAGUCUAACCUGCCCACUGAAAUUUAAAUGGCCGCAGUAAUUUGACUGUGCAAAGGUAGCAUAAUCAUUAGUUUUUUAAUUAAAAGCUUGUAUGAAAGGUUGGACGAGGUAAAAACUGUCUCUGUUUAAUUUAUUUUAGAAUUUAAUUUUUAAGUUAAAAAGCUUAAAUAUUUAUAAAAGACGAGAAGACCCUAUAGAGCUUUAUAAAUUUAAUAUUAAAAUAAAUUUAGGUUUUUAUAUAUUUUAUUUUUAAAUUUAUUUUAUUGGGGUAAUAAAAAGAUUUAAUUAAUUCUUUUUUUUUAUUUAUAUUAAUUUAUAUUAUAUUGAUCCAAUAUUAUUGAUUAUAAGAUUAAGUUACCUUAGGGAUAACAGCGUAAUUUUUUUAAAGAGUUCAUAUCGAUAAAAAAGUUUGCGACCUCGAUGUUGGAUUAAAGAUUAAUUUAGGUGUAGAAGUUUAAAUUUUUGGUCUGUUCGACCAUUAAAUCUUUACAUGAUCUGAGUUCAGACCGGUGUAAGCCAGGUCGGUUUCUAUCUUUAUUAUUUUAAAAUAUUUUAGUACGAAAGGACCAAAUAUUUAAUAUAUUAAUAUUUUUAUUUUUGAAUGUUAUUA